UAGCCAACAUUGCUAUCAGUUGGACUGG
rnacentral:sRNA from 1 species